rnacentral:rRNA from 1 species
GUGCAGCCCCGCGGUAAUACCGGCAGCCCGAGUGAUGGCCGAUCUUAUUGGGCCUAAAGCGUCCGUAGCUGGCUGCGCAAGUCCGUCGGGAAAUCCACUCGCCCAACGAGCGGACGUCCGACGGAAACUGCACAGCUUGGGACCGGAAGGCUCGAAGGGUACGUUCGGGGUAGGAGUGAAAUCCCAUAAUCCCGCACGGACCACCGAUGGCGAAAGCACUUCGAGAAAACGGAUCCGACAGUGAGGGACGAAAGCCAGGGUCUCCAACCGGAUUAGAUACCCCGGUAGUCC